AGGAAGCCCAGAAUUGUGAUUCAGUGGACAUAUUGUAGUUGCAUGUGCCUUGCAUGCAAAUUUGAGGAGGAGGGAUUCAAGGGCUAGGUAAAACUGGUACAGCUUUAACACGGUUCCUUGCUCACUGUGGUAAAUUAAAACAAUAAAUUGAGGAGUUUAGAGCCUGCCUAGAGACCUCGCAUAGCACUGCCUCAGUUGGCAAUGACAUCAUGAUGAUCGCGUCUGGUCUACUCCAAGUCUCCGCUUGUGGUUUGUGUUCUUCAGGUCUCCACUAGCCAUGAUAUUGCGGCUGGGCUUCGGUUCUAAUUAGGGCCUGCUUCUGUUUGCACCAAUUCGAGAUAGUGGUUGUGGAAUGCAGCAGCCAAGACAACAAGGUCAGGCUCGGCUUAGGUAUGAUGACAAACAAAAUUAGAUUCGGAUGGUUCCUUACAUCUUCCUCUCAGAAUCAAGAGUGAUAAUACUUUUUUUGGUGCUCUAGCUUCUGCAGA